AGCAGGCCUGGGGAUGCCUCCAGCCUCGCUUCCCCCAGCAGACCCCUCUGGUUGAGGGGCUGCUCUGCCAGUGUGGGGGUGGGGAUGGGGCAACUGCCCCAGGAGGGGAUAGGCAAAGGAAGCGAGGCCUCUUGCCCUGCUCAGGAAACGCUGAAGGUGUCGGGCGGUGGGCCCUGAUUUGGGAGAUUAGAGGCCCCCGCUGGUCCUGUGGCACAGCUUGCUGGUCCUGUAGCCCCUGCUGGCACAUCUUAUGGUACCUGCCAAAUACAACUCUGCCCUUUAAGGAAGGAAGAGCAGCUGAUCAUCCCUGAGACAAGGGAGGUGGAAUCAGAGGACUGAAGUGAGUGCUGACCAGACAGCAGCAGGCUGGGCAGUGCAUAGGGGCCAUGUGUCAUCUGUGGGUCACUGCCCUGGAUAGUGGGUAUAGUCCUUGAGUGUACAGAUGAUCAGGGCUGUGCAUUUUUUUUUGGGGGGGGGUGUCCUAGGGAUUUAACCCAGGAAAACUUUACCACUAAACUACAUCUCCCAACA